CAAGACUGUAGAUUCCAGAUAAAUGUUGAUUCAUUUUAACUAUUUUUUAGCCUCGUUGCUUGUUGCAGGUCCCGUGUGCCUGAGUCCUCCGCCCACAUGAGGAAUAUUUCUCGCUGAAAAAGGAAGGAAACAAGUGAUUAGAUGAUUUCACGUUUAGUUUUUUCAGAGAUUCUUUAGGGAAUGGAGAUCAGUUUCAUGGAUGACAUCCCAGUUUUCUCAUCAUCAGAAAAGAAAAAAAUCCUCUGGCCAGUGGAAGAAACAGUCACCAAAACGUGAAACAGCCUGGUGAGACAGCAAUAUUCAACUACGAAAAGACCAACAGGUAAAAGAACUAUAGUCACAUCUAAAACAUACUCGGGGGGGAAAAAAAACAUCACAACAACAACACAGAAGCAGUCCAUUGAUU
rnacentral:lncRNA from 1 species